GACGAACGCUGGCGGCGUGCUUAACACAUGCAAGUCGAACGGAAAGGCCCUUCUUUUGUGGUGUUCUCGAUUGGCGAUCGUUUGAUUAACACGUGAGUAACCUGCCCUUUACUUUGGUAUACCUUCAGGAAACUUUGUCUCAUACCGGCUAGGAUCUCCUGCUUCUUUUUUGUUUUUGUAACGUUUCGGCGGUUGGGGAUGGACUCGCGGCUUAUCAGCUUGUUGGUGGGGUAGUUGCUUACCAAGGCUUUGACGGGUAGCCGGCCUGAGAGGGUGACCGGCAAAAUUGGGACUGAGAUACGGCCCAGACUGCUACGGGAGGCAGCAGUGGGGAAAAUUGCACAAUGGGCGGAAGCCUGAUGCAGCAACGCAGCGUGCGGGAUGACGGCCUUCGGGUUGUAAAAAGAUUUCGCCUGUGACGAAGCGUGAGUGACGGUAAUGGGUAAAGAAGCACCGGCUAACUACGUG
rnacentral:rRNA from 1 species